CAUUUACUAGUGUAGUUGGCAUAUGUGGUGCUUAAAGCAGGAUGGGUAAUGGGGUAGUUCCAGCUAGGGUUUACUAUAGAUGAUUUUUGAGCCUAUAUAAAGCAAGGGUUAAAUGGGUUGGUUGCAGAUAAGCUCUCCAGUCUUCCUUUAGGGCUAAAGCAGAUCUUGUAUUUUUUAGAUACCCACUUUAAGCUUAGUAUGUCAAAAUACAGAAAUUGGAAUUCAGAUGAUGGAGUGAAAUGGAUCUAAGGAUCACGGGUUCUCUAAGCUUUCUGGAAGGAAUUGAUGGAACAAGUCCUUUUUAUGAUGUGGCCAAUCAGGAAUCAGAAAAAUUUAGUGGUUAGAUCACAUGCAGAACAUUAUAGAUUUACAGUACCUUUUCCACUUAUUAUGGUUUAAUUAUUUAUUUAUUAUUAAUAGAAUUAUAUGAUUAUGCUGAAGUUUACUUUAUUUAUUGCUCUUAUACUUAUAUAUAUAAGUAGAGUAAACUUUCGUUUAUGUUUCUUAAUAUGAAAUGAAGAUCAUGAAUUGAAAUAUAGGCAAGGGUUCAAUUUGAUAAUCAUUAUUUGCUUUGGAUAAUUAUAAAUUGAUAGUUUCUUAAAUUGAUAGUUUCCAAGCAAGAUUGGGAAUAAUAAGCGUCUUUCUUUUUCCCUCUAAUUCAAAAUUGGAAUUGUUUUAAAAACAAAUAGGAACCAGAUAGUAUUUAUGAUGUAUUUCAUAAGAUAAAUAAUUUAGUAUUUACUGCAUUUUUUAAAAAAUUAAUCUAUAAAUAUUUUAGUUUA